CGAAUACACAAGAAAUAACAGGAAAUACGAAAGCUUGAGGAAAUGUAGAGACGGACUGAACAUUGGGAAAACUUUUCAUUUGAUAACUUCUUCUAGUUUGAUGUUCAAAUGUUCAUGUCUCCUAGGAGCAACACUACCAAAACAUUACAAUACUGCCAUCAUUAUCGAUGUGGUUUGCUCCACUACUCAUUUACCCCCUGGAGUACAUUACAAAACAAAGGUUGAUGAAUGUUACUUCAAGUAAACGACAACAGUGUCGCAACUGAAGGCACAAUAAACGAACACCAACAACAACAACGACAUCAUUAGUCUUGUAAAAAUUUUAUUUCGAAAAAUUUUUUACAACGAAAGUGUAGACAACGAAGCGAAAUGUUAAAACGUUCUAAAUCGAAUCGCUCGCAAAGGGCGAAUCGUCGCAGUGGCAGUGGCAAAGCAGCAGCACAACAGCAGCGAUUGGAGGCUUUGGAGGACAG
rnacentral:sRNA from 1 species